rnacentral:rRNA from 1 species
GACGAACGCUGGCGGCGUGCUUAACCCAUGCAAGUCGAACGGAAAGGCCCUGCUUUUGUGGGGUGCUCGAGUGGCGAACGGGUGAGUAACACGUGAGUAACCUGCCCUUGACUUUGGGAUAACUUCAGGAAACUGGGGCUAAUACCGGAUAGGAGCUCCUGCUGCAUGGUGGGGGUUGGACAGUUUCGGCGGUUGGGGAUGGACUCGCGGCUUAUCAGCUUGUUGGUGGGGUAGUGGCUUACCAAGGCUUUGACGGGUAGCCGGCCUGAGAGGGUGACCGGCAACAUUGUGACUGGGAUACGGCCCAGACUCCUACGGGAGGCAGCAGUGGGGAAUAUUGCACAAUGGGCGGAAGCCUGAUGCAUCAACUCCGCGUGCGGGAUGACGGCCUUCGGGGUGUAAACCGCUUUCGCCGGUGACGAAGCGUGAGUGACGGUAAUGGGUAAAGAAGCACCGGCUAACUACGU